rnacentral:rRNA from 1 species
AUUGAACGCUGGCGGCAGGCAUAACACAUGCAAGUCGAACGAGUGGCGGACGGGUGAGUACUGUCUGGGCCACUGCCUGCUGGAUGGGGAUAACUACUGGAAACGGUACCUAAUCCCGCCUACACUCGGAUGUGCCCAGAUGGGAUUAGCUAGUAGGUGGGGUAAAGGCUCACCGAGGCGACGAUCCCUAGCUGGUCUGAGAGGAUGACCAGCCACACUGGAACUGAGACACGGUCCAGACUCCUACGGGAGGCAGCAGUGGGGAAUAUUGCACAAUGGGCGCAAGCCUGAUGCAGCCAUGCCGCGUGUAUGAAGAAGGCCUUCGGGUUGUAAAGUACUUUCAGCGGGGAGGCGUUACCCGCAGAAGAAGCACCGGCUAACUCCGUGCCAGCAGCCGCGGUAAUUC